CACGCAGCGUCCUUCUACGCGGUCCACUACCUCCACCUAGUGGCCACUUGGCGCCGGUGGUUCUUCUCCUUCCACACCUGUGUGCUGUCAGCUCAUCACCAGUUCCUUCUUCAGUCGGAGAUCUCCUGCCAGUCGGCGCCAGUUCGUCGUUACUCCUGCACAUACUCUCCGGUCGCCGAACACCUGCUUGCCUGACUACCCGCCUGCCUACGCCCUGCUUGCCCGUUAUCGAACCCCUGCCUGUCGGACUCUCCUCCCGGUUCCUGAUCCCCCGCCUGUUCUGACGCUCCUCCUGGUUCCUGAUCCCCCGCCUGUUCUGACGCUCCUCCUGGUUCCCGACUCUCCGCCUGUUCCGAUGCUCCUUCUGGUUCCUGACUCCCCGCCUGUCUGACGCUUCUACAUUCCAAUAAACCCCGUUCCCUUUA